GACGAACGCUGGCGGCGUGCUUAACACAUGCAAGUCGAGCGAUGAAGCACCUUCGGGUGUGAAUUAGCGGCGAACGGGUGAGGAACACGUGAGAAAUCUGCCUUCAACUCUGGGAUAACUCCGUGAAAACGGGGCUAAUACCGGAUAUGAGAUCUACAGGCAUCUGUGGAUCUGGAAAGUUUUUCGGUUGAAGAUGAUCUCGCGGCCUAUCAGCUUGUUGGUGAGGUAAUGGCUCACCAAGGCGACGACGGGUAGCCGGCCUGAGAGGGCGACCGGCCACACUGGGACUGAGACACGGCCCAGACUCCUACGGGAGGCAGCAGUGGGGAAUAUUGGGCAAUGGAGGAAACUCUGACCCAGCGACGCCGCGUGCGGGAUGAAGGCCUUCGGGUUGUAAACCGCUUUCAGCAGGGAAGAAGCGAAAGUGACGGUACCUGCAGAAGAAGCACCGGCUAACUAUGUG
rnacentral:rRNA from 1 species